GUUCCAGUUGAUCGCAUGGUCUUCUGGGAAAGCUUUCGCGGUAUGGGAUGGGGUCGCGUCCUAUCAGCUUGACGGCGGGGUAACGGCCCACCGUGGCUUCGACGGGUAGCCGGCCUGAGAGGGCGACCGGCCACAUUGGGACUGAGAUACGGCCCAGACUCCUACGGGAGGCAGCAGUGGGGAAUAUUGCACAAUGGGCGCAAGCCUGAUGCAGCGACGCCGCGUGAGGGAUGGAGGCCUUCGGGUUGUAAACCUCUUUUAUCGGGGAGCAAGCGAGAGUGAGUUUACCCGUUGAAUAAGCACCGGCUAACUACGUGCCAGCAGCCGCGGUAAUACGUAGGGUGCAAGCGUUAUCCGGAAUUAUUGGGCGUAAAGGGCUCGUAGGCGGUUCGUCGCGUCCGGUGUGAAAGUCCAUCGCUUAACGGUGGAUCCGCGCCGGGUACGGGCGGGCUUGAGUGCGGUAGGGGAGACUGGAAUUCCCGGUGUAACGGUGGAAUGUGUAGAUAUCGGGAAGAACACCAAUGGCGAAGGCAGGUCUCUGGGCCGUUACUGACGCUGAGGAGCGAAAGCGUGGGGAGCGAACAGGAUUAGAUACCCUGGUAGUCCACGCCGUAAACGGUGGAUGCUGGAUGUGGGGCCCGUUCCACGGGUUCCGUGUCGGAGCUAACGCGUUAAGCAUCCCGCCUGGGGAGUACGGCCGCAAGGCUAAAACUCAAAGAAAUUGACGGGGGCCCGCACAAGCGGCGGAGCAUGCGGAUUAAUUCGAUGCAACGCGAAGAACCUUACCUGGGCUUGACAUGUUCCCGACGGUCGUAGAGAUACGGCUUCCCUUCGGGGCGGGUUCACAGGUGGUGCAUGGUCGUCGUCAGCUCGUGUCGUGAGAUGUUGGGUUAAGUCCCGCAACGAGCGCAACCCUCGCCCCGUGUUGCCAGCGGAUUAUGCCGGGAACUCACGGGGGACCGCCGGGGUUAACUCGGAGGAAGGUGGGGAUGACGUCAGAUCAUCAUGCCCCUUACGUCCAGGGCUUCACGCAUGCUACAAUGGCCGGUACAACGGGAUGCGACGCGGCGACGCGGAGCGGAUCCCUGAAAACCGGUCUCAGUUCGGAUCGCAGUCUGCAACUCGACUGCGUGAAGGCGGA
rnacentral:rRNA from 1 species